CUUGGAAACACAGCUAGUUUAUAAAUUGAGGAGAGCCUGUACUGACAAAAAAGAAAUCUUUAUUUACAUGACAAUUGAGAGAGAGAGAAGGAAGAAUGUGGCAGAGUGUAGAUUUGUGCAGUGAGAAAAAUUAGUCUCUUGCAAUUUUGUAAGCUAAAUCUCAUCAACAGCUGUAACAAUGUCUUGCUAAUCCCAGGUAAACUCUCCUGUGAGCUCUCUUUCCCGCUGUGGCAAGGAAGCAAGGUCUAAGGCUGGCUAUUUUGCUUUUUACCCAGAACGCCAGUGCCGUGGACAAACUCCCACAUAACUGCGAUUUGCUUCCCUUCUCUUCUCAGGUGUACAACUUUUGCUCAAUGCUUUAAUGUAAUCUGGAGUUGGAUAAAGGAAGAAAAGAACACUGAAUUGAAGACUAGGAAGAAUUAAGAAGAGAAAACAUUAUAAUCUGUAACUGUUUUUUACUUUACAAUUUAUAUCCUCUUAGAGUGAAAGAGCAAAGCCUAGAAGCCAAGAGAAGCAGAGACAAUAAAUGGAGAUAUGGAAAGUGUCCUGGUGGCCUGUGAGUCUCAAGUUCCAACCACUCUGAGACAUCUGUCCACCUCAUUUAGUGGCUAAAGUAUUCCUUCGGUUAUAUGAGAUAACCCAAUUUCCUUACAGUAUAAUCCUCUUUUUGCUUAAGCUAUAUUUCAGUUAAUUUGUUUCUCACACUUGUAACUGGAAGUCUUGACUAAUUCAACAGCAACCUCUUCUCAGAUAGGUGGGCAAAUUUUGGAAUCAGACUCCUUCUCCUUUGUGCUAUGAUUGGCCCUCCUUGGGCAAUCUAAACAUUCCUAAUUAGUGUGCCCUUUGGCCAGAUAUCCAAACUCAUGGUGCUGUCUCCUCAUAC
rnacentral:lncRNA from 1 species